UACACGCUUUGUGCCUCCUGCUGUGUUGGGAUCCAGAAGGAGAAACCUUUCCUCAGGACUGGGGCUCAAGACAACCCACUCCUGGCUGAAGCCAGAGCUCCACAGUCCAUGUGAAAUCCCACCUGCAAUUCUGCAAAUGCUUGUAAAGAAAAGAUUCGCUCGUAGUGGAGAAGAGUAAAAUUGAUGAGGCCACGUUGUCCUGGCUCCAGAGCUGCUGAAGUGAAAGGAAAAACUGGGAGAGAAACUCAACCCUCCAGCCAGACAUGAAUAACAGGAGCACAACACUGAGCACUUGAACAUAUCAGGUGACACAAAAAGAAGAUGUGGAAGAGCAAUUCAUUCCAGAUCUCUGACUCCACGCUGCAUCCAAAUGUGGUAAAGGUCUGGAAAGCUCUGACGUAGGAGAGCCCUGCUUGUCCCGGCCUGAUCCUGAAUGACACUGACACCCACUGACUUCUCCCUGUAACAGAUGCUUAGGAAAAGUAUGAGAAUUGGAAUAAAUGGUAGGAAAAAAAAGGAGGCUGAUUUCCAAAAUACACUCUUUAAAUGCAGGGCACUGGAAUGUGUGGCAGGGCUGGAAUACAGCAUUGACCAGAUUCCUCACGUUUC